rnacentral:lncRNA from 1 species
UGUCUUUUCCUUUGGCCUUGUUCUUACCUGCAAGACAAAGAGAAAGAGAGCAAUCAGUCAGCACUUGGAAUUAAGCUUCUAGUCAGGAACUGACUGCCUGAAACCCCUUGCCUGAUUACUUACCUAGCAUUGCUCUCGAGUACUCAUCUUCAACAUCUUAUGCUUCUAAAGAAGAUACCACAUCUGCCUGAGGAACAGAUAGGGCAAGUGAGAAGGAUACAAUGAAGCAUGUGGAGACAAGCGUAACAGAACACGUGCCGAUACAUCCACUACUUUGUGAACAGCAAAAGUAUCACAUAUCAUCAGAGUCGAACGUACUCUAGAUUUGAUGGACUUGUUUUGACCCUCAAAUUCUUG